rnacentral:ncRNA from 1 species
UGAGGCUAGGUUUGUGGUUGAAAGUCGAUGCUAGUCGCAGGCAAAACGAUCCACGUAAGUUAGGCAAAGUUUUAAUGAGCAUGGUGCGGUAUAGAAGUAAGUCCUGCCAGAGAAAAUCUGAGAGUUCCAGUAGUGAGAGGUUAAGUCCGGGUAGCGAAAAAUCCAGCAGGCGAGUGUGGGGUCAAAGACCAGGUCAGCUAGUCUCA